AUGAAACGUCUUCCCUUGGUUAAAAUAUUCGAUUUUAGGAAGGGUAAGAAGAAAUGAUCAAAAACUGCUUAAGAUGAUUCACACGUUUUGGGUUCAUCAAGGAUGUUGAGCUCAUACAUUUCAAACUUAAGAACUAAAAGCUAAGACACUUUGAUUUUGUUUCGUGGUUGGUUUCCUCAAGGUAAUUUUCAGUUAGAUUACCUAGCCCCAAAGAAGUUCAGUAUUCAACACUGAAUUCCGUACAAGCACGACUGCAUGACAUAUCGGGUUGGCUGACAUUUACAAGUCGUGCAAGUUUUGUUGUUAACUCUCACACAUUUGAGUCAACCACCUCUGUUAACUGAGGGAACCCCAGGGCCAUUUCCAGUUAACGUAAUUUGUGCAGUAAACCAAAAAAAAUUCCGAACAUAGGAUUCUGGCGCUAUGCUUAAUCUGUGGGAGGCAGGGUACUUCAAGGUUAUAAUCUGAUCUAAUCUACGGACCAACCUAAAAAAGAUUAACCUGAGAUUUAUGACAUUGGUUAUAAAGUUGAUUUCACAGGUGGAUCCAGUUCAAUAAUAGCAAGUUAAGGGUAAGAGUAAUACCUAUUGUUAAUGUAAAUGAAUGUAAAUGAAUGUAAAUGAACAUCAUUGUUCGACUCCGAUACUGAUCACUAACCCUGUUUAUAUAGGUACCUCCUUGACCUCAACAGAAGCUCAGAUGUAGCUUCCGACCCUUAUGGGAAAGCAAUUGUUGAUCAGUGGGUGGAGUGGGAGAGCACGUCUUUGCAGCCUGUUAUCUUCAAUUAUCUUGUAAAGUCCAUUGGCCAGGGAAGGGAUUGCAGUGGCCAUGUCGACGAUCUGGUAAAUCUCCUAAGACAUGCAGAUGAAGCUCUUGCUUCCAAGAAGUACUUUUCUGGGAGUCACCUGGGGCUAGCUGAUGUCAUCCUUUGGGGUUCUCUGCACCCUCUCUUCAUGGAGGGCACAAAAUAUUCAGAUCCAGGCAUCUCAAACUUAAAAAGGUGGCACAACCUCCUCAUGUCUCAGGAGCUUUUCCUCAAAACUGAAUUUGAGGUUGCAGGAGGAAAAGAAGUUUCUUCCUUUAAGGAUGCUUUGUUGGCAAUGCUUGACGCUCAAGAGCAGUUAGCAAAAAGU